rnacentral:misc_RNA from 1 species
AGGCAAAACAGGCAUUUUGUCGUGUCUUGCAGUUAGAUCCAGAAAAUGUGGACGCUCUGGUGGCACUAGCAAUUCUGGAUCUGCAAAACAAUGAAGCUUCUGGUAUUAGGAGAGGAAUGGAAAAGAUGCAAAGAGCCUUUGAGAUAUAUCCUUACUGUGCAAUGGCUCUAAAUUAUCUGGCCAAUCAUUUUUUCUUCACUGGCCAGCAUUUCCUUGUGGAGCAAUUGACUGAGACUGCACUUGCUGUAACCACUCAUGGGCCAACUAAGUCUCAUUCAUACUACAAUUUGGCACGCUCCUACCACAGCAAGGGCGACUAUGAGAAAGCUGGAAUGUACUACAUGGCAUCUGUGAAAGAAAGCAGUAAGCCACAUGACUUUGUAUUACCCUAUUAUGGAUUGGGACAAGUACAGUUGAAGUUGGGAGAUCUUCGGAGUUCGUUGGCGAAUUUUGAGAAAGUCUUGGAGGUUCAUCCUGAAAGUUGCGAGGCAGUGAAAGCUCUUGCACACAUUUAUGUGCAGCUUGGCCAGGCAGAGAAGGUUCAGGAAUAUUUGAAGAAAGCCACAAAAAUUGAUCCUCGUGAUCCCCAGGCCUUUUUGGAUAUAGGAGAACUGUUAAUUUCAAAUGAUCCUGCUGCUGCUUUAGAGGCCUUUAAAACAGCGCGUAAUUUGCUUAAGAAAUCAAAUGAAGAAGUACCAAUAGAGUUGCUUAACAAUAUUGGCGUCCUCCAUUUUGAAAGGGAAGAAUUUGAGCUUGCUACACAAAGUUUUAAGGAAGCUUUAGGUGAUGGCAUAUGGAUUAGGUUCCUUGAUGCUAAAGCACGGUCUAAUGAUCCAACUUCUGGAGGGCUUUUAUAUGGCAAUGGUGAAACACAAUCUGAUCUGUUAAAAAGUGCACAAUAUCCAAUUGAUGCCAGUGCAUCUGUUCGACAAUACAAGGACUUCCAGCUAUUUGAUAGACUUGAGG